UACGUAGGGUGCGAGCGUUAAUCGGAUUUACUGGGCGUAAAGCGUGCGCAGGCGGCCCGUUAAGACAGGUGUGAAAUCCCUGGGCUCAACCUAGGAAUUGCGCUUGUGACUGGCGGGCUCGAGUACGGUAGAGGGGGGUGGAAUUCCUGGUGUAGCAGUGAAAUGCGUAGAGAUCAGGAGGAACACCGAUGGCGAAGGCAGCCCCCUGGGCCUGUACUGACGCUCAUGCACGAAAGCGUGGGAGCAAACAGG
rnacentral:rRNA from 1 species